rnacentral:lncRNA from 1 species
UGGCAGCCCGCGUCCCUGUGUGAAGCCGUCUGCAGCAGCUGCCAGAGCCCUGCUUGCUGUUUCCUUUCUCACCACCCACCUCACCCGGAAAUCCCCUGGUGAUUUCAAGACCUGACCUCUGCACCCUUUUGCUCCCCACCUGUCCCAAAAAAGUGGAGCUAUAACUGUGGGAAAAGGGGAUCUGAAGUCAGACACAGGAUCCACAGUAGCCUGGGGACCUUUCUCACCCCCGCCCUUAAGCAGGCCCCAACAUAACCGGCUGAGAAACCUCCUCUGCCAGAUCCUGACCUGAGCCAGGAGGCGGCCAGGAAACUGGAUUUUGGGACUGGGAUUUCAGAGAGGAAGCUGGAGAGCUGCAGGGUGGUCAUCUGUCACUUUAUUUUGCCCGUCUUGUAGCAUUCUCGAAAAGGCACUCUGUCACGUGUACACAGGAAAGGGCCCUGACAAGAGGAUGGGACUGCAGUUGUGGCUGCCAGAGUCUUGCUUUGUCGCCCAGGUUGGAGUGCAGUGGCACGAUCUCGGCUCAGUGCAACCUCCGCCUCCUGAGUUCAAGUGAUUCUCCUGCCUCAGCCUCCCUAGUAGCUGGGAUUACAGGACAAGGAGAGGGACAAAUUCCUUCUUGGCAUCCUUAUGGCCCUGUGACCUGCUAAUGAAUGCUGACUCUGAGUUGCUACUAGAAUUUGGUUUCCUUGUGGCUUCCCAGGAAUUGUGAGCCAUGUUGGAUAAGGACCUGCAAGGGAAGAAUGAGGAAGCCUGGGACAGUGCAGGAGGGGAGAGCACUGGUGGUAGAGAGGAGUGAUGACAAGGGUCUCCGCCAAAAGGGAAAUGGAGGGGUUAAAGAAGCUGCUGGGGAGGGUUAAAAACAAUGUGUUCUCACUCGUAGGUGGGAAUUGAACAAUGAGAACACUUGGACACAGGAAGGGGAACAUCACACACUGGGGCCUGUCGUGGGGUGUGGGGAGGGAGGAGGGAUAGCAUUAGGAGAUAUACCUAAUGUAAAUGAUGAGUUAAUGGGUGCAGCACACCAACAUGGCACAUGUAUACCUAUGUAACAAACCUGCACAUUGUGUACAUGUACCCUAGAACUUAAAGUAUAAUUAAAAAACAAAACAAAACAAAACAAAAACAAUGAGGUGCUAUUGUUUGGUCUCACUCUGCUCACUCUGUCUCCCAAGCUGGAGUGCAGUGGUACAGUCACGGCUCACUGCAGCCUCCACUUCCUGGACUCAAGUGAUCUUCUCACUUCAGCCUUCUGAGUAGCUGGGACUACAGCCCCCUCUGCAGCUCUUCAUGGGGGUCCACUCAAGUCAGAAGCCACAUUUGGGUGUGAUUCAGAGAGCUGUUUAUGCAAAACCAGCUUUGUCACCAUCAGGCAAGGCACCUGAAUUCCCACCGCAGAGAGUGUUGUGGCCGUGAGGACUUUUCUGUCACCAGCCAUUUCCAGGUAGACCCAGUGUAAUCACAAGCAUCCUUGUAAGUGGCAAAGAGGCAGAGGAGACAGCGCCAGAGAGGCAGCUGCAUGAGAAGGAUCAAGAUGUUGCUGACUUUGAAGUUGGAAGAAGAAGGCCAUGAGCCUCAGUAUGUGGGCGGCUUCUAGAAGCUGGAAGGGGCAAGGAGAUGGAUUUGACCCUUCAGCCUCCAGGGGCAGCUGUACCUGCCAUCACUGAUUGUAGCCUGGUGAGGCCUGUUUUAGACUUCUGACCUGUAGAGCUGUAACAUAAUACAUUUGGGUUGUUUUCAACCACUAAGUUUGUGGUAAUUUGUUGUAGCAGCUGUAGAAAAUGAAUACAUAUGAAUCCUCUGGCAUUUGUUUGAGAUUUGCUCUAUGGCCUAGUAUGUGGUUGUAAAUGUUCCAUCUGUGCCUGAAAAAAUGUAUAUUUCUAAUUCAGUAGUCUCUGCUUUUUUUUUUUAUUUUGUACCCCAUCAAUAAAAUGAUUUUCAGCAUGUAUCCCCAAAUAAACAAUAUUUUAUUUAUUGAUUGAUUGAUAAACAGACAUGUUUAAUGAUAGCUUGCUUUUCACAGAGGUGACUUCGGAGACUUCUAAUCUAUAAUCCAGGAGUAUAUAACCAUG